CGGAGGAGCAUGUGGUUUAAUUCGAUGAUACGCGAGGAACCUUACCAGGGCUUGAAAGUUAGUGAAGGAUGUGGAAACAGCCUACACGACUAGGUGUGACGAGCGCAACCCCUAUCAUUAGUUGCCAACGGGAUGUCAAGUAUCACGGCCCUUACGUCCUGGCUACAUACAUGGUCGGUACAAGGGCAGCCACAUGGUAACAUGGAGCUUCCUUAAAGUCGAUCUCAGUUCGGAUCGAGGUGCAACCCGACCUCGUGAAGCUGGAUUCGCUAGUAAUCGAUAUCAGCCAUGAUGCGGUGAAUACGUUCCCGGGCCUUGUACACACCGCCGUCAAGCCAUGGGAGUUGGGGGUACCCGAAGUCGAUCACCGCAAGGAGUCGCCUAGGUAAAACCAAUGACUGGGGCUAAGUCGUACAAGGU
rnacentral:rRNA from 1 species